rnacentral:rRNA from 1 species
CCUACGGGAGGCAGCAGUGGGGAAUAUUGGGCAAUGGGCGCAAGCCUGACCCAGCAACGCCGCGUGAAGGAAGAAGGCUUUCGGGUUGUAAACUUCUUUUAAGAGGGAAGAGCAGAAGACGGUACCUCUUGAAUAAGCCACGGCUAACUACGUGCCAGCAGCCGCGGAAAUACGUAGGUGGCAAGCGUUGUCCGGAUUUACUGGGUGUAAGGGGCGUGCAGCCGGGAAGACAAGUCAGAUUUGAAAGCCCGCGGCUCAACCGCGGAACUGCAUUUGAAACUGUUUUUCUUGAGUACCGGAGAGGUCAUCGGAAUGCCUUGUGUAGCGGUGAAAUGCGUAGAUAUAAGGAAGAACACCAGUGGCGAAGGCGGAUGACUGGACGGCAACUGACGCUCAUGCACGAAAGCGUGGGUAUCGAACAGGAUUAGAUACCCUAGUAGUC